GGAAGGGCGGACGGGGACGGUCCGCAGGUGGGUCCCACCCCGGCGCCCGGCCUGGGCCAUGGCGAGCGGUGCCCGCCGCGGAGGAGCCCCCCGCGGGGCCCCGUCGGGCCGCUUCAGGUGCUCGGCGGCGGCGAGCGGCGGAGCGAGGGCGCUAGCACCUCUGCCGUGGCCCACGGAGUCAUCCUGCGGAGAAGGUUUUCAGCGGAUCUGCGACCGCCGGAGCUAUACCUGUGUGCAGCAGCAGGGGUUGUGUCUGCAGGAGGGUUUUCUGCUCUCGGGGUGUUUUUCCCGCAUCACUUGGUGUUACUCCAAACUUCGCUGCUGCUCCUCUACAGCUGCCGAGCAGAAAAUAGAAGUUCCCUGAAGUGCA